rnacentral:rRNA from 1 species
CCUACGGGCGGCAGCAGUGAGGAAUAUUGGUCAAUGGCCGGGAGGCUGAACCAGCCAAGUCGCGUGAGGGAAGACGGCCCUACGGGUUGUAAACCUCUUUUGUCAGGGAGCAAGGUGCAGGUCGGGACCUGCUGUGAGAGUACCUGAAGAAAAAGCAUCGGCUAACUCCGUGACAGCAGCCGCGGUAAUACGGAGGAUGCGAGCGUUAUCCGGUUUUAGUGGGUUUAAAGGGUGCGCAGGCGGAGGCACAAGUCAGCGGUAAAAGCGCGGGGCUCAACCCCGCUCCGCCGUUGAAACUGUGUCCGUUGAGUGCGCGAAGGGUAGGCGGAAUGCGUGGUGUAGCGGUGAAAUGCAUAGAUAGCACGCAGAACUCCGAUCGCGAAGGCAGUCUACCGGCGCGCAACUGACGCUCAUGCACGAAAGCGUGGGUAUCGAACAGGAUUAGAUACCCGGGUAGUC